rnacentral:tRNA from 1 species
GCCGAGGUGGUGGAAUUGGCAGACACGCGGCCUUGAGGGGGCCGUGCCUUCGGGUGUAGGGGUUCGAAUCCCCUCCUCGGCACCA